rnacentral:tRNA from 1 species
GGGGGUGUAGCUCAGUGGUAGAGUGCAUGCUUAGCAUGCACGAGGUCCUGGGUUCAAUCUCCGGUACCUUCA